GAUGAACGCUGGCGGCGUGCUUAACACAUGCAAGUCGAACGGGAAGUCUCUUAUUGAAACUUCGGUCGGUUUAAUUUAAUUCUAGUGGAGGACGGGUGAGUAACGCGUGGGUAACCUGCCUUAUACAGGGGGAUAACAGUCAGAAAUGGCUGCUAAUACUGCAUAAGCGCACGGAGCGGCAUGGCUCAGUGGGAAAAACUGCGGUGGUAUAAGAUGGACCCGCGUUGGAUUAGCUGGUUGGUGGGGUAACGGCCCACCAAGGCGACGAUGCAUAGCCGGGCUGGGAGGCUGAACGGCCACAUUGGGACUGAGACACAGCCCAGACUCCUACGGGAGGCAGCAGAGGGGAAUAUUGCACAAUGGGGGAAACCCUGAUGCAGCCACGCGGCGUGAAGGAAGAAGUAUCUCGGUAUGUAAACUUCUAUCAGCAGGGGAGAUAGUGACGGUACCUGACUAAGAAGCCCCGGCUAACUACGUG
rnacentral:rRNA from 1 species